CUGAAAAACUCACUCCAAAGAUCCAUUACCAGACUCUCAGGCCAAACUGCCUGAGUUCCAAUCCUGUGAAUGAACCUCUCUGAACACGCAACAUGAAGCUCUACUGCUGCCCACAGAUGACUUCAGAAACAUGGUUGAAUAAUUCUUAAGUGUGCCUAUACCCCAGUGGCACCUGCAGUUCUAAUUUUCAGCUGACAGCUUCUUAACUCUGCAACACAACCUCACAGGAAUCAUAAUUAUAUUUGUUUUAACAAGAAAAUAUAUUCAGAAGAAGAGCUAAAAAUUUGAAAAUGAUCUCAAUAUUAAAAAAAUAAAGAAGACAUAAACCAUUUGAUAAAGUUAAAAACCGGAGUACAUACAUCAGAAUGUUAAUGUUGUAUCA